CCCAAACCAGUACUCCACCUCCACCUUGCUGGCGUCUGAGUCGGACUGGAGCUCUCUGCCCUUUACCAAUCCAGCCACGGGCCCAUCCAUCUGGCCCAUCAAGACUCACUCUCAUUUCAUCAGUCCAUAAAACCUUAGAAAAUCAGUCUUGAGAUAUUUCUUGGCCCAGUCUUGACGUUUCAGCUUGUGUGUCUUGUUCAGUGGUGGUCGUCUUUCAGCCUUUCUUACCUUGGCCAUGUCUCUGAGUAUAGCACACCUUGUGCUUUUGGGCACUCCAGUGAUGUUGCAGCUCUGAAAUAUGGCCAAACUGGUGGCAAGUGGCAUCGUGGCAGCUGCACGCUUGACUUUUCUCAGUUCAUGGGCAGUUAUUUUGCGCCUUGGUUUUUCCACACGCUUCUUGCGACCCU